rnacentral:lncRNA from 1 species
CUUGACUAGUAGAUGCUAACUCUUGCUUAAUCUCAAAUAUCUUGGUAUCAUUGACAGUCCCAUACCUACUAUUAAGCUGAGUCCAAAUACUUUGAGCAGUGUCAGAAUACUGAAUACUCUCAGCUAUCUCUGGCGUAAGGGAAUUAGUGAGCCAAGAGAUAACCAUAUUAUUACACCUAUCCCACUACCUAAAUUGAGGGGAAUUUUCCGGAGGUUUAAGAACAGUUCCAUCAAUGAAACCUAUCUUAUUCCCAGCAGAUAGGGAGACAAUUAUAUUUUGUCUCCAUCCCCCAAAACCAGUCCCUGAAAGGGAUUGCUAACCAAAGAAAUUCUCGGAACAUCAGAAGACAGGAGAAACAAGGGGCUCGAGGGGUCAGGUACAAAAUUAGUAGGAGCAGAAUCAGAGUUAUCACCAACAUUAACCAUUUUUGCAACUGAGAGACGUCACCGAGCCUGAAACUUGAAGGAGCCAAACCCUAACUAUUCGUCGAUACACAAGUCCUUAAAAGUCGACUUGUUCCUAUGCCGAACCGAUGAAUCCGACGAAAUAGGAACCUCAAAAAUCAACGAUUACAGAGGAAAACGCAGCAAGAUGAGGAAACCCUAGAUUUUUUCAGAGAACAGAGAAACUCUGAUGAAAUUUGGUGAUGGUAACAUCGCGAGGAAGCUAGUGACGAGUAAAAUCAGAAUCUCCGCUCUGAUACCAUGUGAAAACAUUAAUUACCAUGGAUUGAUCGAGAUGCAUAUUGAGAGAUUGAAGAGAUGAUGUGAAAGAGAGAGAGAGAGGAAACCGACUGUCUCUUUUUAUUUCU